GGGAGCUUCUACACACACACACACACACACACACACACACACACACACACACACACACACACACACACACACACACACACACACACACACACACACACACACACACACACACACACACACACACACUACAGGCCCCUGGGUGGGAGGGAGGUGAUUAUGGCUGAUCAGUAGGUGUGAGGUGAGUGGAGUCCUGCUGCUAGAAGGAGGUGAUUAUGGCUGAUCAGUAGGUGUGAGGUGAGUGGAGUCCUGCUGCUAGAAGGAGGUGAUUAUGGCUGAUCAGUAGGUGUGAGGUGAGUGGAGUCCUGCUGCUAGAAGGAGGUGAUUAUGGCUGAUCAGUAGGUGUGAGGUGAGUGGAGUCCUGCUGCUAGAAGGAGGUGAUUAUGGCUGAUCAGUAGGUGUGAGGUGAGUGGAGUCCUGCUGCUAGGAGGUAAUUAUAGACUUUCUCAUCCUCUGUUCUCCUCUGCUCCCCUCUCUUCCUCCUCUCCUCCUUUCACCCUUCCUUCUCCUCCUCUCCUCUCCUCCUCUCACCCUUCCCUCUUCUCUCAUC
rnacentral:lncRNA from 1 species